GUAUAUACACGUAAAGAUAUUUCUUAUUUACAUGUGCUACAUGUGUGUUGUUGGCUGCAGAGGGUAGAAGGUGUUAGAUUCCCUAGAGCUGGAGUUACUAGAAGUUAUGAGCUGCCCCACACAGAUGCUGGGAAUUCAACUCAGGUCUCUGUAAAAGCAGCAAGUGCCCCUAACCACUGAGCCAUCCCUCCACACACAAAACAAAACAAGUCUCGCUAUUUAGGUCACUGUAUAGGCUGACCUCAAACUUGAGAUCCUUCUGCCAUUGCUUCCUGGAUGCCAGGACUAUGAUGUACACUGUCACAACAACCCACCUAUUAUCAGUUGAUUUACAAGUUCGUCAAGGUUGCUGGAUAACAUUUUCUAAUGGCUUGCAAUGGGAGAAAACAACCUUUUAAAUAAGGAGCUUAAUUCUCCCCAGGAAUCCUGAGUAUGGAAACUCUUCCUCCAUCUGAGAAGGGAGUAAUCUGAAGGGAUUAACCUAGUGCCUGGGAAAUUGGGUCUUCCGGGGUGGAGCUGUGUAUUCCUCUGAGCCCUUGUUGUGACAUAGAGUGAAUAGGGUGAGGAGGAGCCAUUCAGCAACUUGGUCUAGCAGGAAGCUCUCCUUCAUGACCUGAUGGUAUCAAGCGCCCCCAUGUGGCAAAUGUCUAAAUCGUCUCUGCCGGCAAUAAAUGUGAGCAAUUGUCUGAUCUCUGUGUCGGUGUGGGCGGGGCUGUUGGGGCUGAUGAAAUCUAGGGCUUUGUGUAUAGUAGACAACCGCUACACUUUAUCCCCCGUCCUAACUUGUAAUUUAAGAAACGUCUUGAUUUUGUUUUGUUUUGUUUUUAAACAUUUGUCUAUAGAUCAGCCUUGGUUAUUAUGUUUCUGACACACUGCUUCAAAUCUGCGGCAUCAUUUCAACUUCCAUAACACUUGACUGCUAAUUUGUGAUUAUCUGCUUAUUAAUCUGAUAAAUUCUUCUUCCCUUCUCGUCUCUUUUUCAAAUGGACUAGAAGGAAGGAGGAAGAGAGGGAAAGAGAACAGAAAAGAAAGGAGGAAAGAGAGAAUUAGACUCUUCUCCCUUCCCCUACCCCAAUGUUCAUGCUAUGUCAUAUGUGGAUUAGCAAGAACCAUUGUCUCAUCUUCUGCCAUUGUUAAGUAAUUAGCAUGUCCGUGCCAUUAGACCCUGUUGGAAACUAACUUCUGCCACUUGAGCUUGUCAUUUUACUUCCCAGAAUAUUUCCCCUUUAUCUGUAGCAUAAGAGUGGCAACACUAACCUGGCCUCUGCAGGGUCACAGUAGGGUCAUGCUAAAUGGUAUUGGAGAAAGCCCAUAGACUCCCACAAAGCCCCGUGUUGGGGGAGCAUGGUGCUGGAAACACUGUUACAGCAGCUGGCCUCCCUCCUGACCCAACUGCCUGCAAAGGUAACUGAAGUCCACUUAAAAGAGAAGGGCUUUACGAUUCUCCUAGUUAGCUGACCUAUUUAUGAGCGCAAAGCCCAGCAAAGAUGGUCUUUUCUUAUAGUUUUAUUUCAAAAAGGGAGACAAUAAUCUCCUCUCCAACAUGGGUGCAGACAACAGUGCUUGAAUUUGCUAAGGCAGAUAAGGAACAGGGCAUUGAAAAUACAUCACAAGGCGAUACAAGAUAAUAGAAAAAAGUAAAAGUAAAACCUUCAGGUUUUCAAGUGCCACACAGGAGUCUCAGGUAAUGUCAUGGGAGUAUCCCCAGCUUUUACAGAAAAGGGAGUGGGCAGGUUUUUCUGGUUCACAACUUUCUUUUUUUUUCCCCCUUGCUCAUUGUGAUGGUUGGUCUUAACUGUCAACAUGAGAAGAUUUACAAUAAGUUUGGAGAUCAGGCAUUAGGUGUGAAAGGACUCACCCUACACGUGGGCAGCACCAUUCCAGGGACUGGGACCCUAGACUGAGUAAAAAGGAGUAACUGAGCCAAGUUCCCGUACUCUCUGCUUCCUGAAUCCAGACAUGGUGAGCCAGCUGCCUCAGGCUCCUGCCACCAUGUCUUCCUGGCUGUGAGCCAAGUUAUAAGCCCUCCCUCCUGUAAGUAACAAGAAAAAAAUAAGUAGUAUGCUCAUCAAUAAUAGCUCACUUUCUUUGGGGUUGGGGGUAUAGAGGGGGUCUCUCUAGGUAGCUGAGUCUAGCCCAGAAUUCUAAUCCUCCUGCAUCAGCUUUCUGAGUGUUAGGGUUAUAGUUGUACACCACCGCACCCAGUCUUCCAGUAGAUUUCUUUAAGAGUGGAAUCUUAAAAUGAAAGUGGGAAGGAAAUGCCUUUAGCCAGGGGAUUUCUCAUUCUGUGCCUUAAGCUCAGACAAUAUCUGGACGCUGGUAAGAAGCUAGGACCCAGGAGAAAACAUGCGCCCUGUGCACAACUUUCUCACAGAUAUGUCUGCUCACUAGAAUGUGCACUUCUUGGACACGAGUCACACUCCCCAGACCAGGAUAAGGCCUGCUUGUGUUUGCUGAGAUAAUAAAUGAGUGGACAAAGAAGCUGGAGAUGAGACUCUCACAGAGGGGAAAGUUACAGAGAAGACAGCUGACUGACUCAUCCAGAUCACACAGCUACUGCUAUCAUCCUGGAGCUGGAACCACGAUUGGCACACUUGCGCUCUGAUGUCCCUAUUCUUCCCACCUGAUGGGAACUCUAAGUCUGCAAAGGAGCAAGUUCACUUUAUAUUGUGCAUAUUGUGCUUCCAGUACUGUGAAUGCUUAAUACAUGUGCAUUAGUUACUUUUUAUUUUUUAUUGUCUUACAAAAUAUCUGACGGAAACAACCUCAAAGGGGGAGGUUUUGUUUUGACUCAUGGUUUUCAAAGAGGUGUUAGUCCACCAUAGAUAAGAAGUCUUGUAGCAGGAGUAUGUGAUAGAGGCUUCCCACUUCGGCUUGACAAAGUACCACAGGCUGAGCCAGCAGUGAGUAUAACCUCCAAAGGCCCCAGUGAAAAGGAUCCAUGGCCUUCAAAAUUGUACCAUAAGCUGGAAUCUGAGUGCUCUAACCAUGAGCCCAUGGGGGACAUUUCAGAUUAAAACCAUAAUGACACGAUGGACAUGGGAGGAGAGAGGAAGGACAGAAGAAAGAGAGAAGAGGAGCUUCAGAAUCAGCCACAUGCACACUGAUCCUAUGGAAAUGAUGGCCAAGACCCGCGAGACAGACCGCUGCUUUCCAACAGAGAGAAGAGCUCACAGAAUGUUCUGUGGCAACUGUUUCUGUGGCCUGAGAUUUUCUACUAGCCCCUCAGAAGGAGAAAGAUCCUUGUCACUAGGGGCUCAAGGUCCAAUCCUCCCACCCAGAGACUGUGCACCAUUUUAGUAGCAGCUUAAAGGAACAAUUUUAGGUUCAGAGCAGAGUUGGUAGAAAUGGUCCUUCCACUGGGUCAUUUCCCAAUUAUGUAGUAUUUUUCAAUGUUUGUAUGGAAAUAUUUACACCUAGUUAUUGAAGACUAUGCUGAAAGCCAGACCGAGAUGUGCAGAGGUCAUGAACGCAGCUGACCAGUUCUUCCUCCGGGCUUCAGAAUAUCUAUGAUGCCUAAUUAACUUAAGCACCGUGUUUCUCUGGCUCUCCUACUGCAGCAGGGUUUGCCACUAUGCAAGGGCCUUGUUAGUCCUUCCCACUUUAGUAUGAUUGACAAAACAUGAGGCCUGAAAAGUCAGAUUACCUGUGAUAGCAUUAACGCUUUAUCACUUACUUGUGACAUUUGGCAAGUUACCCAACCUCUCCAAGCCUGUUUUCUUAUUUCUUAAAUAGAAAAUAAUUUUUAAAAAGAUCUUUUCAAGAGGAAACUUUCCGGGCAGUGGUGGCGCACGCUUUUAAACCCAGCACUUGGGAGGCAGAGGCAGGUGGAUUUCUGAGUUCGAGGCCAGCCUGGUCUACAGAAUGAGUUCCAGGACAGCCAGGGCAGCACAACGAAACCCUGUCUUGAAAAUAAAAAAAAAAAAAAAAAAAAAAAAAAAAAAAGG